ACGAACGCUGGCGGCGUGCUUAACACAUGCAAGUCGAGCGAUGAACUCUCUUCGGAGGGGGAUUAGCGGCGAACGGGUGAGUAACACGUGGGCAACCUGCCCUCAGCUCUGGGAUAACUCCUCGAAAGAGGGGCUAAUACCGGAUACGACUUCCUGCGGCAUCUUGGGAAGUGGAAAGUUUUUCGGCUGAGGAUGGGCCCGCGGCCUAUCAGCUUGUUGGUGGGGUAACGGCCCACCAAGGCGACGACGGGUAGCCGGCCUGAGAGGGCGACCGGCCACACUGGGACUGAGACACGGCCCAGACUCCUACGGGAGGCAGCAGUGGGGAAUAUUGCGCAAUGGGCGAAAGCCUGACGCAGCGACGCCGCGUGAGGGAUGAAGGCCUUCGGGUUGUAAACCUCUUUCAGCAGGGACGAAGCGAAAGUGACGGUACCUGCAGAAGAAGCACCGGCCAACUACGU
rnacentral:rRNA from 1 species